rnacentral:rRNA from 1 species
UAUGAAUGGCCACACGAGGGCUUUACUGUCUCUUACUUCCAAUCCGUGAAAUUGACCUUCCCGUGAAGAGGCGGGAAUAUAACAAUAAGACGAGAAGACCCUAUGGAGCUUUAAUUAACCGACCCAAAGAGACCCCGCCAACCAACCGACAGGAACAACAAAUCUCUACAUGGGCCGACAAUUUAGGUUGGGGUGACCUCGGAGAAUAAAACAACCUCCGAGUGAUUUAAAUCUAGACUAACCAGUCAAAAGUAUUACAUCACUUAUUGAUCCAAAACUUGAUCAACGGAACAAGUUACCCUAGGGAUAACAGCGCAAUCCUAUUUCAGAGUCCAUAUCGACAAUAGGGUUUACGACCUCGAUG